rnacentral:lncRNA from 1 species
UAGCAUGUGCUCAUAAAACGGUGGUUGUAGAGUAUUCAGAAAUAUGGUGGUCAUCUCUUUGUCACUCAGAGGAGGUUCUACUUGAGCAGCGAUUUCUCUCCAUCUUUGGGCAUAUUCUCUGAACGAUUCAGAUUCUUUCUUCACCAUACUCUGCAGUUUUACUCUGUCAGGUGUUAGAUCCUUAUUAUAUUCAUACUACCUUAGAAAUGCAUCCACCAAAUCCUUCCAUGAGUGGAUAUGAGCUGUGUCUAAACGCAUGUACCAAUUUAGAGCCACGCCAGUUAAACUUUCCUGGAAGAAGUGAAUCAAAAGUUUUUCAUCAUGAGCAUAGGCUGGCAUUUUUCUGCAGUACAUGGUUAUGUGGCUCCUUGGACAGGUGUUUCCCCAAUAUUUCUCAAACUCUGGCAACUUGAACUUUGGAGGUAUCACCACAUCAGGAACUAAGCAUAAUUUUCUAGCAUCUCCAAAUUCAAACACAUUUUUGCCCUCUAUGACUCUCUACUUCUUCUCAAGCAUUUCUAAUUUUUCAAAAUCUAUUGGUGUAACACCAUAAGGUGAAGAUUUCAUCUCGGGUGAUUUUCAUACAUGCCUGGAUUGUCUCCCCAUGAAUUAUGGCAGUGUCUACCCCAAGCUUGUCUUCUAUUUCAACUACGUUAUCUUCGACCUUUUGAGCGUCGACAUGUCCCAAGUCCGCUCCUAAGAGUGGAGUGUAAUUUGGAGGAAUACCAUUAGGAGGGAAUUUUGUGCCUCUAAUACUCUUAGUUGCGAUAGUGGUGCGCGCGAAUCUCCGGGACUUUGUAAGGCAUUCAGGGCCUUUAGGAUUUAGCUCAUUUGCUCUUUCAGUUGUUGGAUAUCGACUUUCAUCCCCUCUUGAACUUCUUCUUAGUUCUCCAUGAUUUUUCCACUGGUUCGUGCCUUUUAGGAUG